rnacentral:rRNA from 1 species
CAGUCGAACGAACUCUGGUAUUGAUUGGUGCUUGCAUCAUGAUUUACAUUUGAGUGAGUGGCGAACUGGUGAGUAACACGUGGGAAACCUGCCCAGAAGCGGGGGAUAACACCUGGAAACAGAUGCUAAUACCGCAUAACAACUUGGACCGCAUGGUCCGAGUUUGAAAGAUGGCUUCGGCUAUCACUUUUGGAUGGUCCCGCGGCGUAUUAGCUAGAUGGUGGGGUAACGGCUCACCAUGGCAAUGAUACGUAGCCGACCUGAGAGGGUAAUCGGCCACAUUGGGACUGAGACACGGCCCAAACUCCUACGGGAGGCAGCAGUAGGGAAUCUUCCACAAUGGACGAAAGUCUGAUGGAGCAACGCCGCGUGAGUGAAGAAGGGUUUCGGCUCGUAAAACUCUGUUGUUAAAGAAGAACAUAUCUGAGAGUAACUGUUCAGGUAUUGACGGUAUUUAACCAGAAAGCCACGGCUAACUACGUGCCAGCAGCCGCGGUAAUACGUAGGUGGCAAGCGUUGUCCGGAUUUAUUGGGCGUAAAGCGAGCGCAGGCGGUUUUUUAAGUCUGAUGUGAAAGCCUUCGGCUCAACCGAAGAAGUGCAUCGGAAACUGGGAAACUUGAGUGCAGAAGAGGACAGUGGAACUCCAUGUGUAGCGGUGAAAUGCGUAGAUAUAUGGAAGAACACCAGUGGCGAAGGCGGCUGUCUGGUCUGUAACUGACGCUGAGGCUCGAAAGUAUGGGUAGCAAACAGGAUUAGAUACCCUGGUAGUCCAUACCGUAAACGAUGAAUGCUAAGUGUUGGAGGGUUUCCGCCCUUCAGUGCUGCAGCUAACGCAUUAAGCAUUCCGCCUGGGGAGUACGGCCGCAAGGCUGAAACUCAAAGGAAUUGACGGGGGCCCGCACAAGCGGUGGAGCAUGUGGUUUAAUUCGAAGCUACGCGAAGAACCUUACCAGGUCUUGACAUACUAUGCAAAUCUAAGAGAUUAGACGUUCCCUUCGGGGACAUGGAUACAGGUGGUGCAUGGUUGUCGUCAGCUCGUGUCGUGAGAUGUUGGGUUAAGUCCCGCAACGAGCGCAACCCUUAUUAUCAGUUGCCAGCAUUAAGUUGGGCACUCUGGUGAGACUGCCGGUGACAAACCGGAGGAAGGUUGGGGAUGACGUCAAAUCAUCAUGCCCCUUAUGACCGGGGCUACACACGUGCUACAAUGAAUGGUACAACGAGUUGCGAAAUCGCGAAAAUAAGCUAAUCCUUUAAAGCCUUUUCCAGUUCGGAUUGGAGGCGGCAACCCCCUCACUGAAAUCGGAAACCCUAGAAAUCCGGAAACACAUGCCCCGGGUAAAACUUCUCCGCGCUGUGACCACACGCCGGCCACCCUAGAAAUUUUAACACCACCACCCCGGGGUGACUUUUAGCAACCCAUAGGAUCGGUCAAGGGGGAAUAUUGUCGUUUAGUGACGACGAACAAUGAGUCAAUCA